ACUCCGUGCCAGCAGCCGCGGUAAUACGGAGGAUGCAAGCGUUAUCCGGAAUCAUUGGGCGUAAAGAGUCCGUAGGUGGCACUUCAAGUCUGCUUUCAAAGACCGAAGCUCAACUUCGGAAAGGGAGUGGAAACUGAAGAGCUAGAGUAUAGUAGGGGUAGAGGGAAUUCCUAGUGUAGCGGUGAAAUGCGUAGAGAUUAGGAAGAACACCAGUGGCGAAGGCGCUCUACUGGGCAUAUACUGACACUGAGGGACGAAAGCUAGGGGAGCGAAUGGGAUUA
rnacentral:rRNA from 1 species